UACGAAGGGAGCUAGCGUUGUUCGGAAUCACUGGGCGUAAAGCGCACGUAGGCGGAUGUGUCAGUCAGGGGUGAAAUCCCGGAGCUCAACUUCGGAACUGCCUUUGAUACAGCACAUCUGGAGUCCGGAAGAGGUGGGGUGGAAUUCCUAGUGUAGAGGUGAAAUUCGUAGAUAUUAGGAAGAACACCGGUGGCGAAGGCGGCCCACUGGUCCGGUACUGACGCUGAGGUGCGAAAGCGUGGGGAGCAAACAGG
rnacentral:rRNA from 1 species